rnacentral:rRNA from 1 species
GUGAGGAAUUUUCCGCAAUGGGCGAAAGCCUGACGGAGCAAUGCCGCGUGAAGGAUGAAGGCCUAUGGGUUGUAAACUUCUUUUCUCAGAAAAGAAUUAUGACGGUAUCUGAGGAAUAAGCAUCGGCUAACUCUGUGCCAGCAGCCGCGGUAAGACAGAGGAUGCAAGCGUUAUCCGGAAUGAUUGGGCGUAAAGCGUCUGUAGGUUGUUUAAAAAGUAUUCUGUCAAAGAUUAGGGCUUAACCCUAGAUAGGCAGAAUAAACUUUUAAGCUAGAGUUUGGUAGAGGCAGAGGGAAUUCCCGGUGGAGCGGUGAAAUGCGUAGAUAUCGGGAGGAACACCAAAGGCGAAGGCACUCUGCUGGGCCUGCACUGACGCUCAUGCACGAAAGCGUGGGGAGCAAACAGGAUUAGAAACCCGAGUAGUCC